UACAGAGGUCCCAAGCGUUAUCCGGAUUUACUGGGCGUAAAGCGCGUUCAGGCGGUUUGGCAAGUCGGGCAUGAAAUCUCUCGGCUCAACCGGGAGAGGUUGUCCGAUACUGCUGGACUUGAGGGCAGUAGAGGGUGGUGGAAUUCCGGGUGUAGUGGUGAAAUGCGUAGAUAUCCGGAGGAACACCAGUGGCGAAAGCGGCCACCUGGACUGCACCUGACGCUGACACGCGAAAGCUAGGGGAGCGAACGGG
rnacentral:rRNA from 1 species